rnacentral:rRNA from 1 species
CUGGACGGCCAUAGGGGCGUGGUUCACCCGUUCCCAUUUCGAACACGGACGUUAAGAACGCCUCCGUACCGGGGUGUACUGCAUUACGCGGGAAACUUGGUAAGCUGUCCAAC